rnacentral:lncRNA from 1 species
UUUUUCUUUUCUUUUCUUUUUUUUUAAAGCUGGCAUUCAACCAUUCCUGUGGCACCCAUCACUGCUGAUGUGUUUACUUUAAGCUGUUUUCCUUCAUUCGAAUCAGUUAAGCAUGGUCCGAGGUGGGGCUGGAGAACCACAACCCAGCAGAGCACCUGUCCACGUGAUGAAAGUUCUGGCAGCCUCUGCCAGAGGCUCUGUGUGGCCGCUACUUUCUCUGAAGGCGGAGCAUGAAGGGGCCGCGUGAAGAGAACUGACAUAGCAGUAGGAGGAGCAGCAGUUCAGCCCCUCCACCUUUGAACUUUGUGUGCACCUGUGACAGGGGAUAGGCUUCUUUUACGUGGCACUCUGGUGGGUGCUUCUCUAGAUAGGGGCAAAUGAGAGCCUCCAGGAAGGAAGAUGCCUCAGCUCCACGAGGCAGCAGCUGGAUUUACUUAAAUGGCUAGGAAGAGGGGCUGAGACCAGGCUGGGUGCAGCAAGAGUUCUGGACAGAACUGUGUCCUCUUCAUCUGUGGGGUACACUUGGGCCAGAGGAAGUCAGAGCCUAGAAUCAGAACCGCAGGCAUCCCGAGUUUACAAUGCAGGAUGGCGUCCCAGCUGCAGCUGUCACAACAUCUGGAGCCCUGCAGAAAAUAAGUCUGAAGUCCAGAAGUUCAAAUUCGGCAAAGGACUCCAUGAUCACCAGGGACCCAAUCUCCUAUUUUGAUGUUCCAGCAAGCUCAUGGUCUAAUGAAGGCUGCCCAACCUCCAGCCAUUAUGUCUACAUCCCAAGCAGUGGAAAUAGGAGCAGUGCCUCUCCUAGAGUCAUGUUCUGUCAGGUAAGCCUCUCGUACAUUUCAUACUGUAAUGUGUAUCCAGAGCUUCUUCACCCUCCUCAUUUAGCUGCAAGGGCACCUAAGAAACGUAGACUUCCAGCUGAACGUUUCACUGUGCUAAGAAAAUUCAGGGCUCAGUUGUUGGGUAGGAGUGGCGAGCAAAUACUGGAACUUAGCCAGAAAUGUCUGCAGGAAGGGAGGAAGAUGAGGCAGAACCUCCCUUCCCUUGGGGGACUCACAGGAAGAUGGAAGCCAAGCAAAGAGUCCCCCCACACAGGGAAAAUGACAGCAAGGGCAAGUGGGACGAGAGCCUGCCAAGCGUGUUUGGAAACGCGCUGA